rnacentral:rRNA from 1 species
UACGUAGGGGGCAAGCGUUGUCCGGAAUCAUUGGGCGUAAAGCGCGUGUAGGCGGUCCGGUAAGUCCGCUGUGAAAGUCGGGGGCUCAACCCUCGAAUGCCGGUGGAUACUGUCGGGCUAGAGUGCGGAAGAGGCGAGUGGAAUUCCUGGUGUAGCGGUGAAAUGCGCAGAUAUCAGGAGGAACACCAAUUGCGAAGGCAGCUCGCUGGGACGUUACUGACGCUGAGACGCGAAAGCGGGGGGAGGCGAACAGG